CAAUAGCGUAUAUUAAAGUUGUUGCAGUUAAAAAGCUCGUAGUUGGAUUUCAGUCUUAAUUCGUCUGGCCCGCUCCCUUGAGGAGCCGAGUGCCGGUUGCGAAUUGGACUUCCUUCUAGCAUGAAUCUCCUACCGUUAUGCGGCCGGGAAGGACAUCUGGAUCAUUUACUUUGAAGAAAUUAGAGUGUUCAAAGCAAGCUUACGCUGUGAAUAUAUUAGCAUGGAAUAAUAACAUAGGACUCGGGUUCUAUUUUGUUGGUUUCUAGGACUCAAGUAAUGAUUGAUAGGGAUAGUUGGGGGUGGCUAGUAUUCAGCGGCCAGAGGUGAAAUUCUUGGAUUCGCUGAAGACUAACUUAUGCGAAAGCAUUCACCAAGGAUGUCUUCUUUAAUCAAGAACGAAAGUUGGGA
rnacentral:rRNA from 1 species